rnacentral:rRNA from 1 species
GGGUUGUGAGGUUAAGCGACUAAGCGUACACGGUGGAUGCCCUGGCAGUCAGAGGCGAUGAAGGACGUGCUAAUCUGCGAAAAGCGUCGGUAAGGUGAUAUGAACCGUUAUAACCGGCGAUGUCCGAAUGGGGAAACCCAGUGCAAUUCGUUGCACUAUCGUUAACUGAAUACAUAGGUUAACGAGGCGAACCGGGGGAACUGAAACAUCUAAGUACCCCGAGGAAAAGAAAUCAACCGAGAUUCCCCCAGUAGCGGCGAGCGAACGGGGAGCAGCCCAGAGUCUGAAUCAGCUUGUGUGUUAGUGGAACGGUCUGGAAAGUCCGACGGUACAGGGUGAUAGUCCCGUACACCAAAAUGCACAGGCUGUGAACUCGAAGAGUAGGGCGGGACACGUGGUAUCCUGUCUGAAUAUGGGGGGACCAUCCUCCAAGGCUAAAUACUCCUGACUGACCGAUAGUGAACCAGUACCGUGAGGGAAAGGCGAAAAGAACCCCGGCGAGGGGAGUGAAAAAGAACCUGAAACCGUGUACGUACAAGCAGUGGGAGCACCUUCGGGUGUGACUGCGUACCUUUUGUAUAAUGGGUCAGCGACUUAUAUUCUGUAGCAAGGUUAACCGUAUAGGGGAGCCGCAGGGAAACCGAGUCUUAACUGGGCGUUAAGUUGCAGGGUAUAGACCCGAAACCCGGUGAUCUAGCCAUGGGCAGGUUGAAGGUUGGGUAACACUAACUGGAGGACCGAACCGACUAAUGUUGAAAAAUUAGCGGAUGACUUGUGGCUGGGGGUGAAAGGCCAAUCAAACCGGGAGAUAGCUGGUUCUCCCCGAAAGCUAUUUAGGUAGCGCCUCGUGAAUUCAUCUUCGGGGGUAGAGCACUGUUUCGGCUAGGGGGUCAUCCCGACUUACCAACCCGAUGCAAACUACGAAUACCGAAGAAUGUUAUCACGGGAGACACACGGCGGGUGCUAACGUCCGUCGUGAAGAGGGAAACAACCCAGACCGCCAGCUAAGGUCCCAAAGUCAUGGUUAAGUGGGAAACGAUGUGGGAAGGCACAGACAGCCAGGAUGUUGGCUUAGAAGCAGCCAUCAUUUAAAGAAAGCGUAAUAGCUCACUGGUCGAGUCGGCCUGCGCGGAAGAUGUAACGGGGCUAAACCAUGCACCGAAGCUGCGGCAGCGACACUAUGUGUUGUUGGGUAGGGGAGCGUUCUGUAAGCCUGUGAAGGUGACCUGUGAGGGUUGCUGGAGGUAUCAGAAGUGCGAAUGCUGACAUAAGUAACGAUAAAGCGGGUGAAAAGCCCGCUCGCCGGAAGACCAAGGGUUCCUGUCCAACGUUAAUCGGGGCAGGGUGAGUCGACCCCUAAGGCGAGGCCGAAAGGCGUAGUCGAUGGGAAACAGGUUAAUAUUCCUGUACUUGGUGUUACUGCGAAGGGGGGACGGAGAAGGCUAUGUUAGCCGGGCGACGGUUGUCCCGGUUUAAGCAUGUAGGCGGAGGUUCCAGGUAAAUCCGGUACCUUUUAACGCUGAGGUGUGAUGACGAGGCACUACGGUGCUGAAGUAACAAAUGCCCUGCUUCCAGGAAAAGCCUCUAAGCAUCAGGUAACAUUAAAUCGUACCCCAAACCGACACAGGUGGUCAGGUAGAGAAUACCAAGGCGCUUGAGAGAACUCGGGUGAAGGAACUAGGCAAAAUGGUGCCGUAACUUCGGGAGAAGGCACGCUGGUGUGUAGGUGAAGUCCCUGCGGAUGGAGCUGAGACCAGUCGAAGAUACCAGCUGGCUGCAACUGUUUAUUAAAAACACAGCACUGUGCAAACACGAAAGUGGACGUAUACGGUGUGACGCCUGCCCGGUGCCGGAAGGUUAAUUGAUGGGGUUAUCCGUAAGGAGAAGCUCUUGAUCGAAGCCCCGGUAAACGGCGGCCGUAACUAUAACGGUCCUAAGGUAGCGAAAUUCCUUGUCGGGUAAGUUCCGACCUGCACGAAUGGCGUAAUGAUGGCCAGGCUGUCUCCACCCGAGACUCAGUGAAAUUGAACUCGCUGUGAAGAUGCAGUGUACCCGCGGCAAGACGGAAAGACCCCGUGAACCUUUACUAUAGCUUGACACUGAACAUUGAGCCUUGAUGUGUAGGAUAGGUGGGAGGCUUUGAAGCGUGGACGCCAGUCUGCGUGGAGCCAACCUUGAAAUACCACCCUUUAAUGUUUGAUGUUCUAACGUUGGCCCCUUACCGGGGUUGCGGACAGUGUCUGGUGGGUAGUUUGACUGGGGCGGUCUCCUCCUAAAGCGUAACGGAGGAGCACGAAGGUUAGCUAAUCCUGGUCGGACAUCAGGAGGUUAGUGCAAUGGCAUAAGCUAGCUUGACUGCGAGCGUGACGGCGCGAGCAGGUGCGAAAGCAGGUCAUAGUGAUCCGGUGGUUCUGAAUGGAAGGGCCAUCGCUCAACGGAUAAAAGGUACUCCGGGGAUAACAGGCUGAUACCGCCCAAGAGUUCAUAUCGACGGCGGUGUUUGGCACCUCGAUGUCGGCUCAUCACAUCCUGGGGCUGAAGUAGGUCCCAAGGGUAUGGCUGUUCGCCAUUUAAAGUGGUACGCGAGCUGGGUUUAGAACGUCGUGAGACAGUUCGGUCCCUAUCUGCCGUGGGCGCUGGAGAAUUGAGGGGGGCUGCUCCUAGUACGAGAGGACCGGAGUGGACGCAUCACUGGUGUUCGGGUUGUCAUGCCAAUGGCACUGCCCGGUAGCUAAAUGCGGAAGAGAUAAGUGCUGAAAGCAUCUAAGCACGAAACUUGCCCCGAGAUGAGUUCUCCCUGAGACUUUAAGUCUCCUGAAGGAACGUUGAAGACGACGACGUUGAUAGGCCGGGUGUGUAAGCGCAGCGAUGCGUUGAGCUAACCGGUACUAAUGAACCGUGAGGCUUAACCUUACAACGCCGAAG